rnacentral:rRNA from 1 species
CCUACGGGUGGCUGCAGUGGGGAAUAUUGCACAAUGGGCGCAAGCCUGAUGCAGCCAUGCCGCGUGUGUGAAGAAGGCCUUCGGGUUGUAAGGCACUUUCAGCGGGGAGGAAGGCGGUGAGGUUAAUAACCUCAUCGAUUGACGUUACCCGCAGAAGAAGCACCGGCUAACUCCGUGCCAGCAGCCGCGGUAAUACGGAGGGUGCAAGCGUUAAUCGGAAUUACUGGGCAUAAAGCGCACGCAGGCGGUCUGUCAAGUCGGAUGUGAAAUCCCCGGGCUCAACCUGGGAACUGCAUUCGAAACUGGCAGGCUAGAGUCUUGUAGAGGGGGGUAGAAUUCCAGGUGUAGCGGUGAAAUGCGUAGAGAUCUGGAGGAAUACCGGUGGCGAAGGCGGCCCCCUGGACAAAGACUGACGCUCAGGUGCGAAAGCGUGGGGAGCAAACAGGAUUAGAUACCCGAGUAGUC